UUUUGUGUUUACUAACAAAACGGUAACCCAAUGUAGGGGUUGAAAUUUUAGCUCUCGUUUAUUUUCGGACCUUGUUAGUUGGUUUUAGGCAUUAUAAUUUAAACAUAUAUACUAUGCAUUAAAAUAGUAGCUAAUCAAAUGUAGUGCAGGCUACUAAAUCUACAUGAUCACAGUUAGUAAACGAAGGAGAAACUGUGUAACUUUAAAAUGAGCGUAUCUGUCGUAAAUGAUGAUGCAGCGCUUAACAACAUUCACGACCGUAUUCACCGAAGAAGUGGACACACAAUGGUUUAUUACAAUGACUUUCUAAUACUGUGGGGAGGGUAUAUGGAAUACUAUGUUGGGGAUGAAGUGGUGCCCCAUUGUGUUUAUCAUAUGCCAGAUGAGGUGUACGUGUAUAAUUGCUUCACAGAAAUGUGGGAUCGUGUGCAAACAUAUGGUGAUAUACCACCAAAGUCUUCUGGUUCCUGUGCCGUGGUGCAUGGAGAUGACAUGUAUGUUUUUGGAGGAUACCAGAACGAUGACGAGGACGAAACAUUGGAUGGCAACAGCGACGACUUGUAUCGGCUUCACAUCCCGACGAUGAUGUGGACCCUGUUGCACCCAGAGGGCCUGAGUCCGUCGCCGUGCGACAAGCUGGUGGGGUGGGUCUACGGAGACAAAUUGUAUUUCUUCGGUGGUUUUGGACCAACUCCAACUGUGGCAUACGUAUCACUUUUUGAUUUCAUCAUGGACCCACCGUCGUUGACUACGGGCUGGCCGCGAGGCUGGAACAACCAGCUCGUGGCGUACGACAUCACCAGCAACAGGUGGGAGUGGCCGCAGAGUAAAGGACCCACUCCGAGGCCUCGGGCAGCUCAUGCAGCGGACAUCUCGGGCAGCUGUGUGUAUGUGUUCGGUGGCCGCCUGGGCAUGAUUAGAGUCAACGACCUCUACUGUCUUCAUCUGGAUACGCUCACCUGGAGUAGCAACUUGACGGACCCGAGCGAGGCUACUCCUCCUGGGCGAUCGUGGCACAGCUUCAACUUCACGUGUCCGGAGAAAGCUGUCAUUUACGGCGGCCUCAACAGCCACAACACAGUUCUGAGUGACUGCUGGUGCCUGAACCUGGCGACGAGGCAUUGGACCCAAGUGCAGCUGGCGCACAAGAAGCCGCGGCUGUGGCACAAGGCACAGUACGUGCAGUCCUGCCAACUGCUGAUGGUCGGCGGCCACAAACACAACAUCCUCAACCCUAUGAUGAAGAAAGGACACGGACUUGAUCCCAGCUACCGGCAGGAGUACGCACAGUAAAAUCAUGCUGUCAGCAGAUCUGCAAGGGAUUGGCGGAGUGAUGAUUUACUGUGCCCACAAUAGCGGAAGAAUUUGAUCUGCUGCCUUUUGUUUUCAAAAAUAUGUACAAGGUUUUUACAUUCUCAUAAUGGACUAUGGCUCAGCAUCAAACACAAGCAGUUUCACCUAACCAUGUCUUGUGACCACAAGAUAUGCUACACCAAGAUUACAUGCUGCCACAGAAUGGCUGCGACAGUGUUCCAUAAACUGUAAUUAAUCUCUUUCAUGUUAAAGUUGCAAGCAUACAAUUUUCAUUGAAAUGAGUAAUAUGGUUUGCAUUUAAAAAAUAAAGUAUUUAGUUAUGUAAGCCAUUACACAACUGAUCACUUAAUUUUUGAAUUACGAACGUGCAGGGUUUUAUCAUAAAAUUUUUAAUUUCUUUGAAAAUGAAGAUUAGUGCCAAUACAGCAAAAAUUGAUGAGUUUCGGUAGAAAUUGGACACUGGGGAGGGUCAAAUGCUAGAAAGAUGGAAAUCAGUGAGUGCACCUUGAGGAAAAGAUAAAAAAAAUUUGAUUUAUAGUUUUUCUCCUUUAAUUAUUUUUUAAACUUCACCAGUCCAGGCGCCAUGGACUAUUAAUUUGUGUAGAGGAUUAAACAAAGGAAUAAUAUAUAUAUUUUUUGAAAACAUAUUGUUGAUUUUUUUUUUUACAAUUAGUAGUCAUAUGUUUGCUUGUUACAGGGCACCUACCAUCUCAGUAUCCCUUGGACGUUUCAAACGGGCUUUUACUUAUGAAAUUGAAUUAAAGCUGGCCUAACAUUGCUGACACUUGCAUUCUCGAUUCUACAGACCUACAAGAAAACGUAUAAUGAAAUUUGAAAUCAAUUAUUUAUAAAAGAAUGGAGUAUCCAACUCACUUAACACAGAAUAAUAGCCAGCCACAGAAUAAUAGCCAGCAAAGACUUGUUGAAAGGAUAUUUUAAACAAAAUUAAUUGUCUGUUCGGAACCCAGAGCAGUGUAAAAUGGCAAGAGCAAUUAAAUUCAAUUCUGUCCACGUGGCAACAUUUAUGUUACUGUAAAAGAUUGGUGUCUUGACAAAAAAGUUUUCUCUUAGUAAGAAGUUUAAUACAGUAGAGACAGGCUUGACAGCAGUUCCAAACUGAUUUUAAAGGUAAUGAGCUAAUGACUAAUGAGUAUUGACUCCGAGUAAAAACUUUGCUUGCAAGAUAUCUAGUGCAGUAAGAAGUGAUGCCAUUUCUACAGUAUGCUGCUUUAUUACAACAGGAAUUUUUGUGCCACCGUAACAUGUUAUGUUAACUCAGAUAUAUUUAUAGAUUGGUUGAAACAUUUUGUGCAUUUUGUGAAGCCAUUACCUGUAUAGCCAAUCUUGUUCACUUAUAUUUCUCACUUGCAGUUUUAUUCUGUCAAAAGAUUUCUGACUCAUAUGUCUUACAAAGCUAUAUAAUGCAGCAUUUAGGUAAAGGAUUUUUUGCACCUCUGAAAAUGUGUUUAUGCAAGUGAAGUGGAGAAGGUACUUUAAACAUCCAGGAGAGGUAAUAAGGCUUAUUUACUUUGCAGGAAUUUUUGUCAAACCAUUUAAUUCUGCUCAAAUAAAUGAGAAACUUUUGCCUCUUCAUUGGGUGAAAAUCAAACACUAAAGUUCCAACUAAAUCUGCUGGUUCAAGCCCUGAAGCUGACAAUUUGUUACCAGAAGAUAAACUGACUAUUUUACAAAACUUGACUUUAAAAAGAAUACUUGUUAGUUUUAAUUUGAUUUUGCCACAUUAACAUUACAAAUUCAAAGAAACUGAAGAUUAAGAAAGGAAGAGGACUCUCACAGAAGUCAAAAUAAUAAUCUCUUCUCCUUCAAAAAAUCUCUUGGAACAAAAAAAAACCAAGAGAAGGCAAAGGCAAAAAGAGCUCUUCAAAAGGCAGAAAGGCAUGUGAAAAAACAUAAGGUUUACUAAGAAGAAAUUGAAUGCAUAUAAAGAAGUGAAAUUUAUAAAUGAAUACCUACAUGAAACUAAAAGUUUGGCCCAUAAAAUAAUGAAUCUAUUACUUGCCCAAGAUUCAUGAUGUGAACAUUGUUGCUGUUAAAACAAUAUUCUGUGUGGUAUCUGGGACGAGUGGUGGCAUGAGGGCUUUUCAACUCAUGAAGUCAGUGGGCCAUUCUUUUUAAUUACUGCUCAUGCGUACGUUUAACCUCUGUUUGAAAUUUUUGUGUUUUUUAUAGUUGACUGUAUGUUUGUUAUUUUUGUUAAAUUUAUUCUAAUGUUUCAUAGCUACUUAAAUAAAAAUACUUUUUAGAAUAUAAUAUAGAUGUCUAUUUUUUUCCUAGGAUACAAUUAAAUGUCUACCAAGUGCAUACUCCUGCCUUCCAUUUACUUAUUAUCUCAGUGCAUUGUCUCAUUACUUUACCACAAAACAUACAUUUUAAGGCAAGUUUUUUUUUAUAUAUAGAGGUAAAUGUUCAGAAAUAUUGUGUAGUCAAUAGUCAAAAUUUAAAUGUAGAAACCUUUAGAGAUCUUAAGUUUUGAGGUGCUUCCUCAGUCACGUCAGAUUUUUUUAUAUAUAUUUUCUUAGUUACAGAUUUGAAUGAAAAUGGUUUUUUUUAAUGUAACUAUAUUAUUUGAUUUGUCAGCAUUAAUGAGCUAGGAAACUCAGAAAACAAACUUUUAUUAAUUGCCUAAUUGGCUAUGAUUUAAUUACUCAGAGUUUUCUGUAUGUUACUUGCAUUACUUUUCAGUGACAGCAAAUUACCUUGAGCAUUCAUUUUUCAACUAGACGGGCAACAAAAAUAAUUUGAAUUGCUUUUACUACAAAAAAUUUUUAGCAAUAAUCCUAAAAAUUUUUUAUGUAAAACUGAAAUUAUCUGACAAUGGGUUGAGGCCUUAUCUUAAUGAAAAAAGAAAAAAAUUAUUAUAUGGUUUGCUAGUCUGAUGAAGAAACAUAAUAUCUGAAGCCGACACAAUCAAUAUAGAAUGUUUUAGCCUUGUAGGAGUUUAAAGAUUAGCUCACGAUAAGGAACCAUAGAGAGUGGAAUCAAAGUAUUUUGGGGAACAGUU